rnacentral:misc_RNA from 1 species
UGGGCUUGAACUGUUAGUGGUCGUUCCCCUUUCAGGGUCCUACCACUAACAGUUCAAGCCCAGGUAAGGUUCUUCGCGUUGCAUCGAAUUAAACCACAUGCUCCACCGCUUGUGCGGGCCCCCGUCAAUUCCUUUGAGUUUCACCCUUGCGGGCGUACUCCCCAGGUGGAAUACUUAACAGGUUACCUACGGCACUGAACCUUACGGUCCAACACCAAGUAUUCAUCGUUUAGGGCGUGGACUAC